AAUUUGAUGACUCUGGUAACUCCACCGAGGGCUGCUAACCACUUUUUUUAAAGGAUUGGUCUGCAACAGCAGGGUUCAAAUAAUGCCUGUUUCUGGUUGGAGCCAAGUGAUAAGAAACCUUUACACAAAGAAAAACUGAAAAUAAUAGAUGCAGUAGGGAAGAUGCCCGAGUUAUAAAUGCUGCUGAGUCAAAGUUGAUCUCUGAGAUAAAGAUGUAGCAGAAGAAGAAGGUCUGAAAGAAGACAACAAAAAGAAAAUGUCAUCAGUGCAGCAGUUCCAUCCAUGGAUGUAGGUAGGUCUUCAGGCAAUAAGACU